AUGAAGGCUUUAUUGAAAAGGCUUGAAGCUGUGAAGCCCACAGUUGGUAUGAAACGCUCAGAACAGCUGAUGGAUUAUCAUCGCAAUAUGGGUUAUCUCAACCCAGCACCUUCCUCCAGAAGAGUGAGGUCUAUGCUUGGACAGUAUAGCCCAUUAAGAGGGGCUUCCCGGACAUCCAGUGCUACCAGUGGCCUCAGUUGUAAGACUGAGCCAUCGGGUUCUGACACAUCUAACAACUUGUUGCUGAGACCUAAACCUCCUAAUGUCCAUGCUGCUUGGUUAUAA
rnacentral:lncRNA from 1 species